GAGUGAUCGAAAGAUGAAAAGCACUUUGAAAAGAGAGUUAAACAGCACGUGAAAUUGUUGAAAGGGAAGCGUUUGCGACCAGACUCGCCCGCGGGGUUCAGCCGGCAUUCGUGCCGGUGUACUUCCCCGUGGGCGGGCCAGCGUCGGUUUGGGCGGCCGGUCAAAGGCCCUCGGAAUGUAUCACCCUUCGGGGUGUCUUAUAGCCGAGGGUGCAAUGCGGCCUGCCCGGACCGAGGAACGCGCUUCGGCUCGGACGCUGGCGUAAUGGUCGUAAAUGACCC
rnacentral:rRNA from 1 species